GAUGAAGAACGCAGCGAAAUGCGAUAAGUAAUGUGAAUUGCAGAAUUCCGUGAAUCAUCGAAUCUUUGAACGCACAUUGCGCCCUCUGGUAUUCCGGGGGGCAUGCCUGUCCGAGCGUCAUUACAACCCUCAAGCUCAGCUUGGUGUUGGGCCCCGCCGCCCCGGCGGGCCCUAAAGUCAGUGGCGGUGCCGUCCGGCUCCGAGCGUAGUAAUUCUUCUCGCUCUGGAGGUCCGGUCGUGUGCUCGCCAGCAACCCCCAAUUUUUUUCAGGUUGACCUCGGAUCAGGUAGGGAUACCCGCUGAACUUAAGCAUAUCAAUAAGCGGAGGA
rnacentral:misc_RNA from 1 species